ACGGGAGGCAGCAGUGGGGAAUAUUGGGCAAUGGGCGAAAGCCUGACCCAGCAACGCCGCGUGAAGGAAGAAGGCCUUCGGGUUGUAAACUUCUUUUACCAGGGACGAAGGACGUGACGGUACCUGGAGAAAAAGCAACGGCUAACUACGUGCCAGCAGCCGCGGUAAUACGUAGGUUGCAAGCGUUGUCCGGAUUUACUGGGUGUAAAGGGUGUGUAGGCGGAGGAUCAAGUCAGAUGUGAAAAUUAUGGGCUCAACUCAUAACUUGCAUUUGAAACUGAUCUCCUUGAGUGUGGGAGAGGUAAAUGGAAUUCCCAGUGUAGCGGUGAAAUGCGUAGAUAUUGGGAGGAACACCAGUGGCGAAGGCGGUUUACUGGACCACAACUGACGCUGAGACACGAAAGCGUGGGGAGCAAACAGGAUUAGAUACCCUGGUA
rnacentral:rRNA from 1 species